rnacentral:rRNA from 1 species
CACGUAGGGGGCAAGCGUUGUCCGGAUUUAUUGGGCGUAAAGCGCGUGUAGGCGGCCAGAUAGGUCUGCUGUGAAAACUCGAGGCUCAACCUCGAGCUGUCGGCGGAAACCAUCUGGCUAGAGUCCGGAAGAGGAGAGUGGAAUUCCUGGUGUAGCGGUGAAAUGCGCAGAUAUCAGGAAGAACACCUAUGGCGAAGGCAGCACUCUGGGACGGUACUGACGCUGAGACGCGAAAGCGUGGGGAGCGAACAGG